rnacentral:rRNA from 1 species
UACGGAGGGUGCAAGCGUUAUCCGGAUUCACUGGGUUUAAAGGGUGCGUAGGUGGGCAGGUAAGUCCGUGGUGAAAUCUCUGAGCUUAACUCAGAAACUGCCGUGGAUACUAUUUGUCUUGAAUGUUGUGGAGGUGAGCGGAAUAUGUCAUGUAGCGGUGAAAUGCUUAGAUAUGACAUAGAACACCAAUUGCGAAGGCAGCUCACUACACAAUUAUUGACGCUGAUGGACGAAAGCGUGGGUAGCGAACAGG